rnacentral:rRNA from 1 species
UACGUAGGGUGCAAGCGUUAUCCGGAUUCACUGGGUUUAAAGGGUGCGUAGGUGGGAAUGUAAGUCAGUGGUGAAAUCUCCGUGCUUAACAUGGAAACUGCCAUUGAUACUAUGUUUCUUGAAUUUUCUGGAGGUAAGCGGAAUAUGUCAUGUAGCGGUGAAAUGCUUAGAUAUGACAUAGAACACCAAUUGCGAAGGCAGCUUACUACACAACGAUUGACGCUGAGGCACGAAAGCGUGGGGAUCAAACAGG